rfam:Rattus norvegicus chromosome 19, whole genome shotgun sequence.
GGGGAUUUAGCUCAGUGGUAGAGCGCUUGCCUAGCAACGGCAAGGCCCUGGGUUCGGUCCCCAGCUCCG